UGUGUGUGUGUGUGCGUGUGCGCGUGUGUGUGUGUGAGUGUGAGAAAGAGGGAGUAGAGGGGAGUAAGAGCAGGGGUUGUUGAUUGACCUAUUUUUCUGGCUGUUCAUUUGAAUAGGGAUGAAGGGAGAGACAAUGGGGUUUUUAAUGAUGCCACAGGGGACUUGUACUUUGCUUCCUCCCCUGACAGGGCUUCCACCGAGUUAUUCACCAGUGUAACUUGUAUGCAUAUUAACACCCAGCGCCCAGUGCCACUCAUACAUUUAACGUAUCGGGUAUCAGGCUGAGGACUCUGGCCCCUCGGAAGAGGAUGCGUACGGGCCGAAGGAAGAGACAGCCAAUUAGAGAAAAGGAAUGGUCAGUGGCACGCCAGCUGACUGCUUCAUCGUGUCCUCAAAGCCUAGAUGCCUGCACGUAAAGAUCCCACAUUUCUCCGACCUUGAAUGACAGCGUAUGCGUAUAACAAUGGAUGAACAGUGAAUGGAUGAACAGAUGAAUGAACGAACGUGUCAAUGGAGCUCAGCUGAACUUGAAGCUGUGCUAUGAGCCCUGUAUCAACGUCAUUAAAUGGAGUAUUCAGCCUCAUUAUUUCCACUUUUUUGCAUUCUGAAUAAAUUACUGUCAAGAACAGAA